UUGCUAGGUGGUUGCUAGGGUGUUGCUAGGCGGUUGCUAAGGUGUUGCUAUGGUAUCCGGGGUGGUUGCUAAGGUGUUGCUAAGUGGUUGCUAUGCGGUUGCUAAGGUGUUGCUAGACGGUUGCUAAGGUGUUGCUAUGGUAUCCGGGGAGGUUGCUAAGGUGUUGCUAGGUGGUUGCUAAGGUGUUGCUAGGUGGUUGCUAAGGUGUUGCUAUGGUAUCUGUGGUGGUUGCUAAGGUGUUGCUAGGUGGUUGCUAGGUGAUGUAUAUGCAUACAUUAGAUUAAAUGGUGUUUGCACGUUGCUACGCAACGUGCAAAUACAUCAAUCAGCUAUGCACGCUAGGUUGCUCUGGCCGUUCGGGGGUGUCCAAACUUUUGACCCGUGGCUCCAUUACACACAGUACUGGGGGGCCGGGGUGUCCAA